GACGAACCGUGCAAACGUUGUUCGGAAUCACUGGGCUUAAAGGGCGCGUAGGCGGCUCGCCAAGUCGGGGGUGAAAUCUUUCGGCUCAACCGGAAAAGUGCCUUCGAUACUGGCGGGCUGGAGGGAGGUAGGGGCAUGUGGAACUUCCGGUGGAGCGGUGAAAUGCGUAGAUAUCGGGAGGAACAUCAGUGGCGAAGGCGGCCUUCUGGUCCAGUACUGACACUCAAGUGCGAAAGCGUGGGGAGCAAACAGG
rnacentral:rRNA from 1 species